UGGGGAAUUUUGGACAAUGGGCGCAAGCCUGAUCCAGCAAUGCCGCGUGCAGGAUGAAGGCCUUCGGGUUGUAAACUGCUUUUGUACGGAGCGAAAAGGUCUGCCCUAAUACGGUGGGCUCAUGACGGUACCGACAGAAUAAGCACCGGCUAACUCUGUGCCAGCAGCCGCGGUGAUACAGAGGGUGCAAGCGUUAAUCGGAAUUACUGGGCGUAAAACGUGCGCAGGCGGUUAUAUAAGACAGAUGUGAAAUCCCCGGGCUCAACCUGGGAACUGCGUUUGUGACUGCAUAACUAGAGUACGGCAGAGGGAGGUGGAAUUCCGCGUGUAGCAGUGAAAUGCGUAGAUAUGCGGAGGAACACCGAUGGCGAAGGCAGCCUCCUGGGCCAGUACUGACGCUCAUGCACGAAAGCGUGGGGAGCAAACA
rnacentral:rRNA from 1 species